AAAUGGGGAAUAUCUCUGAGAAAUCGGAGUUAAUACCGCAUAAGACCACAAGUUUGGCAUCAAACAGGGGUCAAAGCAGCAAUGCGUUUUGAGAUGGUCCUGCGGCCUAUCAGCUAGUUGGUAGGAUAGUGGCCUACCAAGGCUAUAACAGGUAUCCGGCCUGAAAGGGUGGACGGACACACUGGAACUGAGACACGGUCCAGACUCCUAUGGGAGGCAGCAGUGGGGAAUUUUGGACAAUGGGGGAAACCCUGAUCCAGCGACGCCGCGUGGAGGACGAAGGCUUUCGAGUUGUAAACUCCUUUUAGAGGGGAAGAAAAAAAUGACGGUACCCUCAGAAAAAGCCACGGCUAACUACGUGCCAGCAGCCGCGGUAAUACGUAGGUGGCGAGCGUUACUCGGAAUUACUAGGCGUAAAGCGUACGUAGGCGGUUGAAUAAGUCUUUAGUGAAAUUUCUUGGCUUAACUGAGAAGGGUCUAAGGAUACUGUUCAGCUUGAGUUUGGGAGAGGGAGAUGGAAUUCCUGGUGUAGCGGUGAAAUGCGUAGAUAUCAGGAGGAACACCGAUAGCGAAAGCAGCUUCCUGGCCCAAUACUGACGUUAAUAUACGAAAGCUAGGGUAGCAAACAGGAUUAGAUACCCUGGUAGUCCUAGCUGUAAACGAUGUUCACUAGAUGUGGGAGGUAUCGACCCUUUCCGUAUCGACGCUAACGCAUUAAGUGAACCGCCUGGGGAGUACGACCGCAAGGUUGAAACUCAAAAGAAUUGACGGGGGCCCGCACAAGCGGUGGAAUAUGUGGUUUAAUUCGACGAAACACGAAGAACCUUACCUGGGCUUGAACUGCUAAUAGUAAGAGCC
rnacentral:rRNA from 1 species